UCUGCCUGCUGCUGCAGCCUUCAUCUGUCAUAGUAGCCAUUAAUAUCACAUGAAUAUCUUCCACCUGGAUCACCGUUGAGGAUUUGUUUAGGACUGUGCUUUCUCUAGGUCCUCCCCUCUCCGCCACAGCAAGGUGCAAUCCAUGGAAAAGCCUCAUCUCAGUAAUCAAUUGGAGAUUCCUUAUUUUGAAUUUGUGAUCCUUAAUUCUAGAUCCCUCCGUGAGAGAAAACGCCAUUUCAGCAUCAAGAUUUUCAUAGCGCGCAGAAAAUUAUAUCUUUCACAAUAAGAUCACCUGUCAUUUUUCUAAAUGCUAAUGAAUAUACACAAAGAGAGCAGAGCCUCCUCUGGGACUGGAUAAAGGAUUACUCUUCUUUGUUCUUAACCAAAUGGUUGAUUCUCUCUCUGGUCGGAGGGUGAGCUGCUCUGGUCACUGCUGUAUCCCAACACGCCUCUAGGUAGGCUGGAGAGUGGGGCUACCCAAGUCCUGCCGAGCUGGGUUCGUAUACCCUCCUGGUUGCCUUCUGGAGCUUUCCAAAGACUUGACCAAUCGGAGAUACAGAAAAGAAGAGCCCAACAUCUCCCGGAUUCACAGAUAAUUACAGCAGAGAAGGAAACCAUUCAGCCAAUCAUAUCUGUGCCAGUUAACAAAGAACUGAUUAUUCCAAUCCCACAUCCCAGCUUUUAGCCCAUAGUCCUGGAGGCUAUGGCAUUGCAAGUGAAAAUCUACAUACUGCUUCAAUGUUACGAGUUUUUCUGACUCAACAAUCCUUUUAGGCAGUGGCUUCCAGAAUCUCACCAACUUUCCGAAUAAAAAAAACCAUUUUCCUCAACUCCGUGGUUACCACUGUUGCCUCACAGCGCCGGGGACCCCGGAUUCGAUUCCAGCCUUGGGCGACUGUGUUUGUGGAGUUUGCACGUUCUCUCUGUGUCUGUGUGGGUUUCCUCCAGGUGCUCUGGUUUCCUCCCACAGUCCAAAGAUGUGCAGGUUAGGUGAAUUGGCCAUGCUAAAUUUCCUGCAGUGUCCAGGGGGGAUGUGUAUUCUAGGUAGGUUUGCCAUGGGAAAUGCAGGGUUACAGGGAUAGGGUAGGAUCGGAUUUGGGUGGGAUACUCUUUGGAGGGUUGAUGCGGACUCAAUGGACCGAAUGGCCUGUUUCCACACUAUAGGAUUCUAAGAUUCUCUUAACCUUAUACCUUACUUUAAAUCUAUGCCCCCUGGUUAUUGCCACCUCUACCAAUGGAAAAAAAAGUGUCUUCCUAUACCUGUAAUAAUCUUAUACACCUCCAUUAGGUUCCCUCUUAAACUUUGCUGCUUCAAGGAAAACCAUCCCAGCCUAGCCAAUCUUUCCUUGUAUGUCUGACCCUCCACCCCAGGCAACUUCAAGCCUAAUGCAGUAGUUAAUAAGUUAAUUCUUGUGCUAAAAAGUAAGGCAGAAUCUUUAGCAGACUGUGCCUGUCCAUCUCAGUGAGAAAAUCCAUUACCUAGGAUGAAAAAGAUGAAAUUGAAGGCAUAAAGAAGAUGUGUUUAAAAGAUGCCAAGCUAAGGAUUUACAAGAUUGAUGCAGGAGGUAGAGAUUUCUAUCACUAAGUCACCCACAGGUAUAUCUCACUCAUUCACACCCAAGAGGAGUUAAGCAGUUGACAUUGGAUUUGGGGUGUCAUGAUUUCACUUUAAAUCAAAAUGUUCAAAACACAAACUACACAAUUGUCACCAGCUUGUCCGUCACAUUUAUAGAUUUAAUUUCAAGAUUUGUGUACGUCAGAAUAGCCAACAAACUCUCGAAGGUAACUCAGCGUUUAAAUCCCUUUCAGAGGCUUUCUCAAAAUGUAAAGAUACAUGUACUUGUCUCAUUCAGCACUAGAGGGCAGCAUCCGCUCAAAAUCCUGCCACUUAAUAGGUUUUACAUUGUAAUCAUUUUAAUAAACGUAAAAAUAUCUAAUAUUCUUUCAUUUAUAUUCAGUGAUUAUAUUUGGCACAAACACAAUGGUUUUUUUUCCCCCCUGCUUUUAAUGCAGGACUUGAAGUCAAUUAUUAAUUUCUGGAAAAUCUCUUGCUCCAAUGCUACAACAAUGACUUGUAUUUAGACAAGCAUCUCUUUAAGGUAAUAAACUGUUACAGUUAUCAAACAAAA